rnacentral:rRNA from 1 species
UACAGAGGAUGCAAGCGUUAUCCGGAAUGAUUGGGCGUAAAGCGUCUGUAGGUGGCUUGGUAAGUCCGCUGUGAAAGUCCAGGGCUCAACCCUGGAAUGCCGGUGGAAACUGUCAAGCUUGAGUCCGGAAGAGGCGAGUGGAAUUCCUGGUGUAGCGGUGAAAUGCGCAGAUAUCGGGAGGAACACCUGUGGCGAAAGCGGCUCACUGGACCACAACUGACGCUGAGGCGCGAAAGCUAGGGGAGCAAACAGG